rnacentral:misc_RNA from 1 species
GGCCUGUUAUUAUUUAACCCCAAAGAAUUGUUUAAGACAGAUAUCAAACAGGUUCAGAUUGAUUUCACUGUGUGUUAGCUGAUGCCUGCAUUUAGAUAUGUUCACUGCAGUCUUGAACAGAGAAGCAGUGUAAAUAGUGUAUGGAUCCUUGAUUUUUUUUUUUUUUCACUCUGUUUAAUCAAUGAGGUCUGACUGGUGUUUUACUUACCACAUUUUUUGUCCCUGACUAGUUAUUUUUUAAUCAGACCAUUUGUUGUCUCUGUGAUCAUUUAAUUUUACUUUUUUUUAAGUGAAUGAAGUGUUGCCCUAUCAGUUGUAUAGAUAAUACUUGUAUAUAUGUGUACUGAUGGUACAUGUACCAUAGGGCAUAUUUUGGAGUUAGCAACAAUUCUGUAAAUAGUAAUGUAACUCUCUCAAGUUGACAAUUGUUGUGUUUAUUUAUAUCACAUAUAAAUAAAAUCAGAUCUCUU